GGCUCAGGACAUUUGCAUGCCGCACACGUUAGCAUGUCCGUCUCGUUCAGUCAGCUCGAAACCAGUAUAGUAUAUAGGUUCUUCGGAGUCACCAGGACGAUUCAAACGAGUGCUGACCACCGGACCGAUCGGACGUGUUUUUCGCGGUACUCAACGGAUCAGUAAAGGGCAAUUUGUCAGUGAUAACCAUCUAUUAGGUCUCGUGAGGGGAAAACCUGUGCCUGUGGAUCAUUGGACAGCAAUCAGUCCCAAGCGGGGAGGCAAUUAUUGGUCAGUGUCUCCCAACCACCGCGCCAUGCUUAAAAGGGGGCAAGCAUACAUGUAGAGGAGCGUUGCGUGUCCUUGUCCUUUGUGAUCGCUACCCUGUCGCAACCGCACGCGCUUCCCCGACCCGCGGACUAUUUAUCGACUAAUGGACAUGCAGUGCAUGGUUGGAUUCCUGCGAAGUUCGACGCGCUGUCUAUCCCGGGACUCCUGGUGUGAUUUGAAUUGAGUAUGGGUGUUUACUAUCAAGAAUGAGGAUAAUUGUACGGGAGAGAAUACUGACUCAAGGUUGUGUAGCGUCACGAUUGGUGGCCUCGCGACUGUCGAUACAUAAUGUUGCAGUGAUGUGUGGCAAUUUAUCAAUUUUUUAACGGUUGAAACCUCGAGUGGGCGCAUAUGUUCCAGUAAGGAGUAAACGAUAGGAAAUGACCUGAUGUAGGAAGUGUUUUACGAAAUCGUUGUGAAUUGUGUCAGUCGAAACUAUUCAUCCGGCAGGGCUUGGCCGAGUGGCCUAAAUAUUUGUAACAUUACAGUCCGUUUCCCCCUCGAGCGGAGUGCGCUGGCUUGACUGCAAAUCCUACGACCGUUAUUCACUCGAAUUGGCUAAUCAUAUGAAAGCGCUGCAAAACAAGCUAAUUCGCUUUCACUCUAUCAGUAAUCAACAGUAUGACAGAGAAAAAUGAGGAAAAGUGUGACUGCGUAAACAAAACUAAUGAGUGUCGUAUGUCCGGCGACGAAAGGUGCCUUUUUUUCUAUAGCCAGUUUCUCAACGGUGUGAUAGAGUAAAUAAGAUAUUUUUUUGUGUCGGCGAAUGCAAACAGUCCAAAUUUCUGCUUUAUUGGCUAUACUGUAGCAGUUCACAGCAAUAAAUCAUACGUCGCUCCGGAAUAAUUUCGGGUCGCGUGGCUGCUUGAAUCUUUUAUCACCUCCUAUUCAAACCCAUAGUGCAAGUCCGUGUGUGUUGCUUCUUCAUAUGUGCUCAGUGAUUGUGGUAUUGCGAUAAUUGCGUCGCCUUUGCACACAAUGGUUUACAAACCACCAGGCACCUCCCCGUCAACCACGAGGGCCAGGACGGGUGGCAAAAGUCCGACGCCUUCGUCCCGAGGCCAAUCGCCAGCGCCCCGCGGAGGUUCGUUUCGUAGCGGUGGUGUCUACAACGCUAAAUCGGUGUCCAGUCUCAACAAUCACAGAGACACUACGGGUGUGACAACGCGUGGACGGUACAAAAAUCUGUCGAAUGCCGAGCAAUUCACAAAUGGCAAAAAAGUGAACAAUAUUUUGAAAACUGCUGACUCCAGUGGGGGAAUGAAGCGCUCGAGCAGUUUAAAUAACAAGAACAACCGGUCGAAUAGUGUCGAAAGGAUGAAUAACGGAAAAAUUUAUCGGGGGCCAAGUCCACUGUGGAAUUCGCUGUCGAACCUCCAGCAGCACCAGCCAGCUAAGAAUCAGCCCUUUCUUGUACGCUCCAGAGGAAAUGAUCGGGGCAGCAUCGAUAAUCUGGACAAUAUCACACAGUCUUCGAAUGGAAGUGGUAGUUCACUCCCGGGAACCCCAGAGGAUAACAUCAACGUCGUCGUUCGAGUUCGACCACUGGACGUUAGAGAGAUACGAAAUGGUGACGAUAUGGUUGCUCAAUUUCCCGGGAACGGUCAAAUCCUGUGCGACGGCAUUCCUGCGAGUUAUGGAAGUGGGGGUCAGAAACCAAAGCUUUUCUCGUAUAAUGUUGUCUUCGAACCAGGCGCCACUCAGGAUGACGUGCUUCAGUUUUCCGGCAUUAAACGUUUAAUAGAAAUGGCUAUCGAGGGAUUCAGCUGUACAGCGUUUUGCUAUGGUCAGACUGGGUCAGGGAAAACGCAUACACUCACGGGACCCCCUGAAUUGUUUUAUGGUAAACCCGACCCCAAACACGAAAGCCACGGGUUGGUAUUUCGAUCCUUCCUGUAUCUGUUCCAGCUACUACAAGAACGAAAAGACACCAACUUCGUGCUGAAGGCAUCAUUUCUAGAGAUCUACAACGAAAAGGUAAUCGAUCUACUCAAUCCCGGAACGGCACGAAAACCAUUGGCGGUUCGAUGGUCAAAAAAAUCCCGUGGAUUUUUCGUGGAAAACCUGUUCACCGUUGAUUGCGAAGAAUUUGAUGACCUAUUGGCAGUUCUAGAGGAAGGAAUGCGGAAUCGUUCCGUCGGGUGUCAUUCGAUGAACGAUUACUCGUCUCGCAGUCACACGAUCUUAACCGUUCACAUCACAUCCGAACAGCAGGCAGAGGGUGGCGUUUUUAUAUCAAAGCAAGGGAAAAUUAACUUUGUCGAUCUGGCGGGUAGCGAAAUGACGAAAAAGACGCACAGUGAGGGAAAAACGUUGGAGGAAGCCAAUAACAUUAACAAAAGUCUAAUGGUGUUGGGCUAUUGCAUCGCGUCGCUAAGUGAUUCGAAAAAGCGCAGCGGUCACAUUCCCUAUCGGGACAGUAAACUCACGAAACUUCUGGCUGACAGUUUAGCCGGAAAUGGCGUCACUUUGAUGAUUGCCUGCAUUUCACCGGCUCGAUCUAACAUAACCGAAACUCUGAACACGCUUCGCUAUGCAGCACGAGCGAAGAAAAUCCGUACUAAGCCAAUCAUAGUGAUGGAUCCACGAGAAGCGUUGAUACUAAGUUUGAAACGGGAAAUAGGCGCACUACAUGUGGAAAACGAGCACCUUCGUACUACUCUGAACCUACAGUCGGAGUCCGCCGAAACGGGAAGCCAGUUGGACUUCUUCGAAAGGAGACCAAUUCCAAGAACACCACCAAAGUUGGACCUUGAGAAGCUUACCGAUAUGGAGGGGAAUGAGCUUAAAGAACUAGUCAAAUUAUACAUGGUUGAGAAUCAAGCUCUGAGGCAGGAAAAUUCGGAGUUGUACUCGACACGAGAGAUGAUCAUGCGUGAUCAAGAGGUGGUUUGCCGUGAAAAUGAAAGGCUGCUCAAAAAGUUAGAGGAUGUGAAUUCAGUUUGCUGUCGAUCUCCCAUUAUUCCGGCGAGACCAACCUUCUCGGCGGAGAUGUUGAAUCUUUCCGCAAAUAGCGAGGAUAUUACUAAUGUCUGGCAGAAUGCACUCAGUAUUAGCAGUGAUAGUGCGGGCAGUUUGCCCAAGCCGAAGACUGAAUCGCUGGACGGACGAGUAUCUGCAAACGAAAACAAAAUCCCGGAGUUACUUCAAAAGGAACUGGAUAAGAGAAGAAUUGGGGAUAGUAUAACUACAAUUGCAAAUAAUCUCAAGCGACACAAUUCUUGGGAAAAUAAUCGUUCGCAGAACGUGAAGCUCUCCUCUCGAAAAGGAUCCGCCGAGAGUAGACGUUCAGAUCAGACGCAAAGAACUUCUCAAACACGAAUAAUAGACCUUAAAUCCUAUCCAUUCAUGUCUGAUAGAGUCAGUUCCUCCUGGUCGUUAACCACCAAGAGACCAGGCAGUAACACAAGUAUCAAUACAGUUAAGCUUUCGCCUCGACUGCCGCAACGGAACAUUUUCAUUACCAAGAGCCAAUCCACCGACGGAGGUUUGCUUCCGAUGAAAUGAAACAUCUUCGGUAGUCUUGUGUCGCUCAAUGGAAACGAUAACGGCUCUUCGCUAAUUUGAACGUUUAAGCAAACACAUGCUGAGCUAAGGAUUGAAAUAUGUUAACCCAACACCGUAAGUGAUUACCAACAAGCAGGGAUCGAAAGAUAAACUCGUGGAUUUUUGUACUAGGCAAAUGUGUAGGAAGUGAUAUUUUCCAAAUAGGAAAUUAUGUGUUGAUAAAUAAAAAGAAGAAUAUAAACCAAAAGUAAUGCUAAUUCUUCAAAACCAAAAGCAUAAUAAAACAAAAUUGCAGUAUUUCUGAUAGAAACUAUUACUAUUACUUAUUUUGAAAUAAAUUAAACAAUUGGUACUGUACAGUGUGUUAAGUAUACAAUGUUAA